ACAAUGAAAGAAAAAAUGUAUUCUAUUACAUGUCAUGAUUAUGAUGAUAAUAAUGAGGAUAGGGAGAAUCAAAAUAUUCCAGUCAGAGUUCAAAUGGAUGAACUGGUGUAGGAAAAGGCAAUGGAAUAGCUUCAGAAGACACCAUUUCAUCCAAUAAUAAAAAAAUAAAAUAAAAUAAUCUAUGAGAAUUUGACAGUUUGCAAGAUUUUCAAUUGAACCCUCGACAUUAAGAAGAGGAACUCCUAAUGCUGCCAAACACUUGACCUAGAAUUGCUGUGAGAUCAUUUGCUGACUACACUUAACUACUUGAACUAAAAUACAAUAUUUUGCCUUUUUCUAUAUCAUCAGUAAAUACUAUAAUUAUAAGUAAAUAAUUUAUAGUUUUCAACUUUGCUUAUAC
rnacentral:misc_RNA from 1 species